AACGAGAGAUAGAUAAGAUACAA
rnacentral:siRNA from 1 species